CUACCGUCCCUCAAAGCUGGAAAUCUGAAACAAAACCAUAAAUAAUAAAUCAGAAUUGUGUGGGUCACCCUGCCACACAAGUGAUGGUAGCUAGGAAAAAGUUAGUUUAAGUAUGUAAGUUAGCUCGCUCAGCCUGGAGGUUUGUUUUCAGAUCGAGCGGAGAAUGAAUGCUGUUAAUGGUGUGUUAUAGCAGACCGUGUAAUAACAGAUGCUGCCAGACCUGAGCUUCUCCAAUGUGCUGUUUCCUUUUCUUGCACCCACAGAGUUCUAUAAAUGAGGAUGUAUUCCACUAAAAUUCCAAAAACAAAUGUGCAUUUCAUAGUGCAGACGCUGCCAGACCAACUACAUCUUGAAAGUUCCUUACAGCCAAAAACUUGCACAUUUUCUUCACCUGAAAUCUGCAUGAGGUAGACACGGGCAGCAUUGGCAGCAGCUCCACAUAUGAAGACACCACUCAAUAUUGCACAGAGUGAGGUCAAGCUCCCAGUCACAUUCUCUCCAACAGGAUUCAUGUAAAUGGUAUCAAUAACCUUUCCCAGAAAGAAGGGAGCAGACAUGGUCACAAGGCUGGACACACCCAAGAAGCCCACAGCAGCUGGGGAGAGAAAACAAUACAAACUUGUAGAUAUCAGAGCAACACAAGGGCAGGCUGACUGUACUGCAAAGAUAAGGAGGUCGACUAAUGGGCAAUUUAUUACAGAAAAAAUGGCUGCAGAAGUACAACCAGGAGCCAACUCCCUUGAUUCGACACUACAACCAUGAAAACA